rnacentral:rRNA from 1 species
CCUACGGGCGGCAGCAGUGGGGAAUAUUGGACAAUGGGGGGAACCCUGAUCCAGCCAUGCCGCGUGUGUGAAGAAGGCCCUCGGGUUGUAAAGCACUUUCAGUGAGGAAGAACGCCUGGUGGUUAAUACCCAUCAGGAAAGACAACACUCACAGAAGAAGCACCGGCUAACUCCGUGCCAGCAGCCGCGGUAAUACGGAGGGUGCGAGCGUUAAUCGGAAUUACUGGGCGUAAAGCGCGCGUAGGUGGGUUGAUAAGCCGGUUGUGAAAGCCCCGGGCUCAACCUGGGAACGGCAUCCGGAACUGUCAAGCUAGAGUGCAGGAGAGGAAGGUAGAAUUCCCGGUGUAGCGGUGAAAUGCGUAGAGAUCGGGAGGAACACCAGUGGCGAAGGCGGCCUUCUGGACUGAUACUGACGCUGAGGCGCGAAAGCGUGGGUAGCAAACAGGAUUAGAUACCCCAGUAGUC